CUAUGAAUGUAUGUUCAAUGAAGCAGGUAAAAACUAUGAGCCCGUUUUGAAGUGUCAAGUUGAAGAAGCAGAUUUGGUGUCCAUUAUUAUGGAAGGAUUAUGUGAAGUCAUCUAUAGAGGAGCCUUCCAGGAAGCUGAGAGAGAGCUCUGUAAAUUAAACCAGAAAUAUGUGAAUGAAAAUGAAGCUCGAUCAGUGCUUGAGAUCAAAGCAUUGGAAAAUGUUGCUGAGAAAGAAAACUUACAGAGACAGAUUGUUACACUGGAAACAAUAAUUGAUAAGAAGGAGAAGGCUGCGCAAGAGAUAUUAGAUGCACUGAGAUCAGAGAAGGAAAAAAACAUGUUAAUUUCGCAAGAGGUUGAUAGGUUGAAGGCACAUACUAGUGAGCAGCAGUUAUUAAUUUCACAAAGCAGGUCAGAAUCGGAAGUAAUUAGUGAUCAGCUGCUUGAAGCAUUGGAGAACGUAGAAAUGCACAGGAAUGACAAUUGCAAGCUGAGAAAGAAAAUUGAGCUACUUACAGAGAAGUCCAAGGAAAUUGCCGACGAAAAACUCAAACUCAUCACUGUUGCUGAAGAGAGGCUACAUGCUGUGUCACAGUGUGAGGCCAGAGAAAGGGAAUGGAAAAAACAAACCUUCUCAACAAUUGCUCUUGUGAAUGGUUU
rnacentral:lncRNA from 1 species